AGCUUUGUGCAAUGGCAGUAUUGUACCAAUGAGGUUUAUCCAAGGUGUGAUUAUUGCUAAUUAAAAAGGUGAUCAGCAUUGUGAUCCUAAUAGAUUUUUAAAAAUCACCUAACUUGGAAGACAGAGUUGU
rnacentral:snRNA from 1 species